CGGGACGGGUGAGUAAUGUCUGGGAAACUGCCUGAUGGAGGGGGGUAACUACUGGAAACGGUAGCUAAUACCGCAUAACGUCGCAAGACCAAAAGAAGGGGGGACCGUUCGGGCCUCUUGCCAUCGGAUGUGCCCAGAUGGGAUUAGCUAGUAGGUGGGGUAACGGCUCACCUAGGCGACGAUCCCUAGCUGGUCUGAGAGGAUGACCAGCCACACUGGAACUGAGACACGGUCCAG
rnacentral:rRNA from 1 species